rnacentral:rRNA from 1 species
AAAACUUACCAGGUCAAGACAUGGGCGUGAUUGACAGGCUAAUGACUUUUCUCGAUUCCAUGGAUGGUGGUGCAUGGUCGCACUUAGUUGGUGCAGUGAUUUGUCAGGUUUAUUCCGGUAACGAACGAGACCUCGGCCUUGUAAAUAGCUAUGCUGCUUACAGGGACAUUGGCGGCUACGCCAAGGAAGCUCGAGGCAAUUGCAGAUCUGGAAUGCCCUUAGAUGUCCUGGGUCGCACGCGUGCUACAAUGACGCCACGAACGAGCUUGCGUGAUGAAAGUUACGCAUAAUCAGCAGUCGGCGUCUUAAGGGAUAGUCUCUUGUAACUGUGGGACUCCAACUAGGAAUGUCUCGUAAGCACAAGUCAACAUCUUGUGUUGAUUACGUCCCUGCUCUUUGUACACACCGCCCGUCGCUCCUACCGAUCGAGUGUUUAGGUGAAUUUGAUGGACGUAAGGAAGUCAAAUAAACCUGAGCACUAGAGAAGAGAGUCUAGAAUC